AAAGAUGUAAUGGCCAAGAAAAUGUACCAAUCCAUCUGGCCUUGUUGCAGCAAACCUACAGCGCAACCUGGUCUUAAUAAAAAUGCUAACUACAAGGGCAACUGCAUCCAGCCAGGUCACUCAUACCUUUGACAAAACCACAGGGUAACUUGUGGGUUCUGCUCAUUAGACACGUUGUACCGGCAUCUUUGAGUGCAAACCUCUCUAUUCUGCUCAGGAAUUUGGGCUGUAGCUUUUACCAAGCAUAGGCAUUUUCUGCCUCUGCACUAAGUAGCUGACAGUAUUCUUUCAGACCAAAUAGUCUGUCUUUUUCACCACACUCUUUUAAUGUGGUUUCUACCUCACUCUAUGUUUAGGGAGAAUAUAGCUAAAAUAUGGAUAUUAUUCUGUAAUAUUUAUGUAGGUAAAUCUUUUGUGCAUGGAAAGUGUGGUAGUAGUUUAUUUUUAAGUUUGUAUAGUUUUAAUUACUAUUUUGAUUUUCGGGGCAUUAGACAUAGCAAAAUAUUUGUCUACAGCAGAUGUUUUUGACAAAUGAUUUAUUGUAUAAAUGCAAAAUUGCUGAGAAUUCAGUCCAACUGGAACUGUGAUGAACAUUUGCCUCAGUGUGAUUCUUUUUGUAGUAUGAGGCACAUUAACCUACAUCUUCCACUUCAUUAGAAAAUAUAUGUCUGUGUACAGGAGAAGAGCCACCACUUCUAUCAUAUGCCUCAGCAGAGAUUACAAAAACUGAUUUCAUUGUACUUGUAUAAAUUGAUGAACAGGUCCUUGGAUAGUCUUUUUAUGAGCUAUCUCUUUGCAACUCUUGAUUUAGAAUGCAAAAAUAUCUACCUGCAGUUUCAAAUAUAGUGCCUAAAUAUCAGAUUCCAGCUCAAAGCAAGAUUUCUCGGUGGGAUGCUCUCACCCAGCAUCCCACUGAAUGUACAAUUACAGUGAUCCUUUUUGUAAGAACUGUGUCACUUCUAAAAUGUAAUGUGAAAUUUUUGCAUCAGUUUAAAUUACUAGCUUCACCUUCUGAAGAUUCACUAGGGAACCGAUACACCUUCUUGUGUCUUCUACUCUUAGUUACCGUGAAGCAAGUAACAAACUGUGAGAAGGAGAAUUUUUACCGUGAACAUCAGCAGAAGGAUACAAGCACUUCCAUACUGAAUAGGAAAUUGUUGACUAGGUUGUGCAGAGUUAACCUAAAAAAUAAAAAAAGGGAUUAUAUGAGCCCUGUAUGGGAGACAAAUCUAUCUUCUGUCAGAUGGAAGUACUUGCACGUUACUGUUCCAUCCCUGGCUACAACAAGCUGUGCUGUGAGUCCUGCAGCAAGCGCAGCAGCACUCUCCCACCACCAUUCCUUACCGAAGCUGCUGAAACUGAGGAGGAAGUGAUGUUUGAUCGAAGUGAUUUGCCUAGAGCUUUGAUGAUGCCAACGCCUUUAGUCCCCCAUUAUGCAGAGUUCCUGCCAGGGAGAAGGGGCCUGGGCAGGCUUCACUUCGCAGAAGAGGAUACAGAUACACAUGUCUCCCAAUCAAACACAAAGCCUAAGGGUGCUGAGUUUCCACAGUGGAGAGUUCCUCUAGCAAGCAAGACUUCCAAGCUAUUUGCUUUGUUCCACCAGCCACCUGCCAAUAGUAGCAGUCUUGGUCCUCCUAAUGACCUUGCUUUGGUCGCAGCUGUUCCUGUGGUGUCAGCUAAUAACACUGCAGUGGGUGCUCCUUCACCAUCAAGAACCUCACAGAAGAGUGAGAGGCAAAUUGACAAGAGAUGGCCUUCGAGGUCCUCCACUGUGGAAAGAUGAAUGUGAAUGCCACAUGGAGAAUAGUUGCAGAAAGAAGCUUUGGUUCGCUUUGUGUUUCCUUUCUUUACUUCUGGACACUACGGCGCAUGCUGCUUUCCAUGAGCAGGACGCUGCAGAUCAUCAGCUAAUUCUCCUUGUAAAUACAAAGAACAAGAAGUGCUGGUUCACUUUCUAGUUGCUUCCCGUCCCUCCUUCCAUACUGUGUCAUCUUCUUAGCUUGAAUGCGUUGGAGGAAAGCACCAAAGAACAUUCCUAACAGUGCACAAAAGUUGCCAAGGGCAUCGGUCAAGCUCUAGUACAGGGAAAGUGGCCGUGUUCUUAGUAGUCACCUCACUAUUUUUGUUUUUAAGCACUCACAUGUAGAAAACACCCCACUACAAGAAGUACCAAACGUUUACAUGAUACAAAAUACUUUUGCAGUGGAACAACUGAAUUAAUAAGACUUGUUUUGCUAAUUUAUCUAUAUAAAUGGAUAUUGUAUGAGCAAAUUUGCAGCUGUUGUGUAAAUACUGUAUAUUGCAGAAAAUCAGUAUUAUUUUUAAGAGUUUUGUGCUGUCAGACAACUGUUUACCUAUGUUGCAUUCUGGACAAUUGCUAGGUGCCUGCCAUUGAGUACUGCCUUAUUUACAUUCCACAAGUUGAUUUUUUAAGCAGCAUUGUCAUAAAAGGAUAAGUUCCAUUUUCAUAUGAAUUACAUCUACUGAUAUUAGGAAAGAGUUUGUUGUUUGAUUGUUUUUUAGUAACAACAAUGUGAUGCUUUCUUUUCAAGUAGAGGGGGAAAAAAAGAAGUAUAAUUCUAAAAGUAUGAGUCUGCUUAUUGCUACCUGCCCAUUAAAAGUUCGUUUAGACAUUUUAGCGUAAUUCCAGUCACAGGUUGAAAAAAUGCUGUUAUGUGCCUGUGAAAUGAACACUGACACCUGCAGCCUACACUGAGCAGGCACUGCUAUGGCUAGGAGUUGCAGUGCUGUCCCUUAAGUUUCCUCUUGCCUAAGGGGUCAGACCAGUGUAGGAAACCAUGUAUAUACUGUAAGUACUGUAAUAUUCACAAGUCAAAAAGUUGUGUUUUCCAGAUGAUCCAGUUGUUUUUUAUGAAGCUAAAAAAGCAUCAUAGUGGUAGCACUAAGAAGAAAUAGCUGUGGCAAGACUUAAAAGAUUUUUUUCCUACUGGAAGCAUUGGUUUAAGGUGAGAGAGAUAUUUAUUUUUCAGCAUGGUUCACCUCAAAAUCUCCAUAAGCACAAUGCAUCUGACUGCAAUAAUGUACUAGUAAUUUAUGUCAAUAACCAUCUUGUUCACAGUCCAUCCAAUCACACUCUCUCCUGUGUGUUGCUGUAAAGUACUUGUAUAUAGGAUUGAGAACUAAAGAUAUUUAUUAAAAGUUGAAUUCUUGAUAGUAUUUUAUGUACUAAAUAUUUACACUAAGGGCAGUUGACUAUCCUUUUUGCCAAGAUAAAAUAGAUGUAACGAGAUACUUGUACAUGCUAUGUCAUAUGAAUAGAGCAGAAAUUUAAGCUAACUAAACUACUGUAGAGAAACUGUUGUUCUUACUCUUAAAAAUAAAAAAAGUCUGACAAUUUUUUUUAUUACAAGCAUCUUUAAUUUCAAAGUGGGAUAUUAAAUAUUCAUGUGCAAUUUUUGUUUCCCCAUAAGAAGUCCUCAUGAUUGCCUCAUUUGAAAGAACAGCGGAUGUGUGCCUCUAACCUACUAUAAAACAGUAUCAUUCCAAAUUAGGACUCCAAAGGUUAAAUUCUGGAAAGAAACUUCUGAGGUGAUUAUGCAUAAUCACUGGAUGACUAGGAUAAGGUAAGGAUGAAAAAUGUUGUCACAAAACUUUUAUUGUAAAUGAAAUUUAAGAAGAUGAAUCCUCUUCAAGGGAGUAUGGGGUCACUGCGCAUCUUACAUUGUGAUGUGCGUUAUCUAACCCACUGUAGUACUGACUCACCACCUCUAAAGAAUUGCUGCUACCUUUCCACAAGGCUUUUGAAGGUCAAAGAAAUUAGUAUUAAAAGUAUUGUACAGACAAUCCCUGAGCCUCAAACAGACAAAUAGGGUGUAUUUUAUUACUUGGAAAUUUCCAAAAAGUCAAAUUCUCUGUCUUUAUCUUCUACAUAUAUACAAUGUGGGUGUAGAUAAUCGUUGUACCUUUUUGCUUUCUUUUCUACCAAGCUACUUUCUCUUUCAUUAAAGUGUACACUACUGAUCCUGUUUGUUGUACUGGGGAGCAUGUAGCAAUAAAAUCUUUAAGAUAA